rnacentral:tRNA from 1 species
GGACAUAUAGCUCAGUUGGUUAGAGCGUUCGUUUCACACGCGAGAGGUCAUAGGUUCAAGUCCUGUUAUGUCCACCA